GGCUGGUCCGAGUGCAGUGGUGUUUAUAACUAAUUGAUCAGAACCAGUUACACAUUUCUUUGUUCCUUCUCCACUCCCACUGCUUCACUUGACCAGCCUUUA
rnacentral:Y_RNA from 1 species